rnacentral:rRNA from 1 species
UACGUAGGGCGCGAGCGUUGUCCGGAAUUAUUGGGCGUAAAUAGCUCGUAGGUGGUUUGUCGCGUUGUUCGUGAAAACUCACAGCUCAACUGUGGGCGUGCGGGCGAUACGGGCAGACUGGAGUACUGCAGGGGAGACUGGAAUUCCUGGUGUAGCGGUGGAAUGCGCAGAUAUCAGGAGGAACACCGGUGGCGAAGGCGGGUCUCUGGGCAGUAACCGACGCUGAGGAGCGAAAGCGUGGGGAGCGAACAGG